rnacentral:sRNA from 1 species
ACAGAACAGAUGACGAAGGUCAAUUCACUUGUACAGGAAGAAAUAAUCUGGGACUGGACCCACAAACUAUUGACCUCAACGUGACAUCUGGCCCAAUGCGUAUCCAAGGUAUUGAAGCAAUAUUGACCAAACAAUAUUGUCCCAGAAGAAAAAACUGUGACUUUGAACUGCAAAGCGAGACCAGCUCUUCGUGAGCACAUAGCGACACCUGUAUGGUACAGAAAUGGAGUAAAACUUGUUAAAGAAAAUUUGCCAGAUCCUGAAAGAUACAGCUUUAGCACGGACAGAACGUCACUGACCAUUAGGAAUCUGACAAGACCAAAUGAUACGGCUUGCUAUCAGUGUAAUAUAUCUAAUAGUGAAGGCUAUUUAUUUUACGAUGGCUACCUGAGAGUUAUUGAAUCCAUCAAGAUAACCAGAAAACCUGAGAGCUACAUCAAAGUAAGAGAGGUUGAAGGAGACAUUGACCUGUCUGUACACGUCACUAGUGAUGCCUGCUGUCUUAGAAGCUACAUUUGGCUCUUGAACGGAACAGAAAUGAAGAUAUCAGAUUUCAAUAAGUCACCAGUUUUCAACUACAGCACAGAUUGCAUAUUACGUUUUCAAAAAGACUAUGUUGAUGAGUCCGAGUGGAUGAAGUACUUAGGCAACUAUACGUGCAAAGUGUCCAACAGUUAUGAGCAAGUCCAGGUUUCUGCAAUACUUAGCCUUG